GCUUGCUUGUUUCAGUGGUUAGAGCGUUCGCCUCGAAUGCGGGAGGUCUCGGUUUCGAAUCCAAGCUGAGUU